GAGGGUCUAGCUCAGUGGCAGAGUGUGUGUUUAGCAUACACGAGGUCCUGGGUUCAACCCCCAGUACCUCA
rnacentral:tRNA from 1 species